AUUCUUGCUCUUAUGUUUUUUUUUACCUUUUCAUGCUUAAGAUGGAGAUUUAAUUAAAUUUUGUUUAAUUUAGUCCUUAAUCUUAUUGGCUUUUAUGGAUAUAAGGGUGAAGAAAUGGGGGGGGUCGAAUGAGCUAAUUAAAUUAGGACAGUAGAUUUAAUUUUGAGAAAACCAUAAUUUGCGGGAAAAUAAGUAAGUAGCAAAACCUACCACCGUAUCAUUGGGUAAAAUCUUACACGUGUCUGGCUCUGCGGCUCAGCGUCACCGUCAUCGGCGGUGCUCGUCGUCACUGUCGUGAAACUUUAUCAAUUUAUGUCUGGCGCUUUUUUUCUUCUUUUCAUUCUUUCUUUGAGGUUUUUUUUUUUAAUUACAAGUGAAAUCGAAAUGUCCAGGAUUUUGGUUGUUUAUUAAAUGUUAAGUUUGAGUUUUGAGUUAAGAGUGGAUAGCCAAAUGGAUUAUUAUCCUUAUAUGGAAAUGAUAGUUACAUAGUGCUUAAACCCUGUGAUCUCAUCCCAAUAUAAUUUGGAGAUAAAAUUUAAUUAUUCUUCAACUCAUCAAUUGAAUCCUUAUAUGGAAUUUUGUGGGUGUUGCAGCAUGUUGAAGUUCCGGUUCCCAGUCCAAAAAAGGAUGAAGUUUUGAUCAAAGUAGAGGCAGCUAGUAUUAACCCAAUCGACUGGAAAAUACAGGAGGGGGUAGCGCGCCCAUUUUUACCUCGCAAAUUCCCCCACAUUCCUGGUACUGUUACUUUUCUCUAGAUGGUUCAGCCCAAUGGUUUAUUUUGCAUCAGUUUUCAGUGCUUUAGUGGAUUUAAAGCAUCGAAACUUUUCUUUCUUUUACUAGUUUGAAUGCUUGUUUUCAAUCAUUAACUAAAGAACAUUUGGUGGAGCAGGUACCGAUGUAGCAGGAGAAAUCGUACAAGUUGGAUCAGGUGUCCAGAGUUUCAAAGUCGGGGAUACAGUUGUUGCCGUACUUGGUGUAAGUACUCAUUCUUAUUCUUGGGUUUGUUGCAUACUUGCAAGUGGGAAACAUAUGUAUGUUUGAUGUUACACUCGACAAGUUCGUUGGUUCAAGUUUUACUACAACCAAGCCAUAAGAUUCUUGUUCGCCAUUAUUAUUCAUCUCCUUGUUUUAAAUGCUAUCUAGCAUCAUUUAUGUCCUUUUUCGUGCCAAUCUCUUAUUAUAUGAAUCUAUUUUGCAAUCAUAGAAUGGAGGUGCACUAGCUGAAUAUGCUGUGGCUAAGGAAGGUUCCACAGUUCCAAGGCCUCCAGAGGUAUCAGCCCCUGAAGCUGCAGCUUUGCCAAUUGCUGGCCUUGCAGCUCACCAGUCACUCACCCAGCUUGCUGGUCUCAAACUUGAUGGAACCGGCCCACAAGUAAAUGUUCUGGUUACCGCUGCUUCAGGUGGAGUAGGUCAAUAUGCAGUGCAACUCCUAAAGCUUGCAAAUGCACACAUUACAGCCACUUGUGGGGCUCGUAAUAUGGAUUUAGUCAGGAGCCUGGGGGCUGAUGAGGUUCUUGACUACAAAACUCCUGAGGGGGUGGCUCUCAAAAGCCCUUCUGGUCGCAAAUACGAUGUAAUCAUCCACUGUGCACACAACAUUCCUUGGUCUACCUUUUCGGCUAAUUUGACUCCAAAAGGAAAGGUAGUAAAUACCACUCCUGGUUUCGGUACUUUGAUGAGUGUUGCUGCGAAAAAGAUUUCAUGCUCAAAGAAGCAACUCAUACCCUUGUUUACCUCACCUAAGAAAGAGAACCUCGAUUUUCUUGUUAAGUUGGUGAGAGAUGGAAAGCUUAAGCCAAUAAUCGAUUCGAAGCAUCCUCUAAGUAAGGCCGAAGAUGCUUGGGCUAAGAGCAUUGAUGGCCAUGCCACUGGCAAGAUUCUUGUGGAGCCCUAGUUUAUGAAGAUUACUUGAUGCAUACAUUAAAUUUAUACUUUUUCUGUGAGUGGGGUUGCUUAUGAGUUAUUUGUAUAUUAACAAGUACUCUGUAUUUUGAAGAAUACAAAUGUUGGUGUGUGAGUUCUUUAUUUGUUGGCAAUUUCAAGUGUGCUAACUGUAAUGUUAUUCAAAACUGUGUUUUGUUAUAAAAUUUAAAAUUCAAAAUUCAAAAUGUUGUUUAAUGCCAUGGAAAAUUAGAUUUUAUUUUUGUAAUAUUGAAGUAACCAUUUCAUUUCACGAACACAAUUUGCUCACUAUUUCAUUCGCAAAUGGACCGUCGGUGAAUAUUGAAGGGAGUGAACAAUUACUCACCAUUUCAUUUCUCGAACACAAAUUGCACUACAUUUUCUUUCACAAUUUCUCUCAAAUCUUUAAAUAAUUUUUUAAGCUUUUGAUUCUUAUCAAUCAAUCUUGAAAAGUUUAUUUCUAACAAAAAUUUUUAUGUUUUUAAGAUCAAAACACGAUUUUCCAUUUUUUUUUUCUAAGGGAGAUCGACUUCUUGAUUGUUCUUGACUUUGAUUUCUGAAAAAUUGAAACUUAAUUUCUAAUGAUUUUCUCAUUUUUAAAGCUAUGCUGAUGUUGAUUGGAUUAGAGAGAGUCGAGAUUUCUUUUUGUUUUCAGGGUAGAUUUACAUUGCUAAUGAGUUUAUAAUUUUAUUAGGAUGUUAGGAAUUAGACUUAAUUGGAGAUUGAAUAUAGUUCUUAGAAAUUGUCUUUAACGAGAAAGUGAGGAGGAAUUGAGUUUUCAACAGAGAAUUCAAUGUUUUUAGGUUAGUUUUAAGUUCUUAAGUAUGAAUAUAAGGUUAGAUUUGAGUUACAGUAAGUUUCAAUUUGAAUUCUUGAAAGUGGGCAUUGAAGUGCGAAAGUGUACUGCUAAAUCAUAUUGCAUGAUUUUGUUGAAUUUUAAAGGUUUUGAUUGUUAUGAUUUGUUGUUCUAACUUGGUUUAUUGUGUUGAUAUUGGCUUUGAAGUAAAAGAUGUUGGUGAGAGAUUUAAAGACAAAAGGAAGGAAAAUAUCAUUGAAGCUCGAGUGGUUUCAGUUUGUGCAAUUCGAUCUUUAGAUUUAUCUUUGUUAGGAUUGAGUGACCCGAAUGUUAAAAUAAAAGACAGUGGUAAAAUAAAAUAAAAAUAAAAUCCAUAUAGAACUACACUUCUUUUAUUUUAUUUUAGAAUAAUGUUUUUUAACCUUAUUACACUUCAUCUAUUUGAUAUUGAUUAGAAUAAGGUGAUUCAACCUUACUACACAUCUUCUAUUAAAAUAUGGUUUUACAAGCUUAUAAAUAGACAGUCUACUCCUCUUGUAAUUAUUCGAAUUCGACAUAGUGAAUUAUCUUCUCCUCUACCUGUGGUUUUUUCUCGAAAAAGUUUCCACGUAAAAAUCUGUGUGUUUCGUUCUUUUUUUUUUUGUGAUACAUUAUCAUUAUCGACGUUCUAUUUUUUUCACAAUCUUAUGUUAUAAUCUAGAUUGAGUUGAUAAAAUAUGAUUUUUACCGAGAUAAUUUUGAUUUAAUGCCAUGAUUACAAGUCAAAUUGAAAGUAGGCACGAAAUGCCUAUGGUUGAAUGUCAACUGUUAUCUUGAAAGGGCCUUACCCUAUUACCCUUAUCUUGUUACUUAUGGGUGGGAGAUGAUCAGCUUCAGAUUCCUCCUUUCCUCUAAUUAAAAUACACUCAAAUUUCAUUUACUCCCAAAUUUUUCAACACAUUUCACUUCCAAAAUUUACUAUUUUUUUAAUCAUGCAAGUAUCUGUUUUUUUUUUCAUUGUUUGUAACAUGUUGAAUUUUUUCAUUAAUAUAACUUCUGUGGGAUGUUCUGUGUGCCUUUGUUAUGGAUUUUAAUCCACGGCACAUGACGUUCCAAGUUCAAUAUUUGUUGAUGUGAUGGAAAUGAUGGUGAAAAGACAAUGUCCUAUUAGUACUUCGAUUUUGCCAACUUUUUUAGAGGAAAAAUAAUAUUUGAAUAAAAACUAAUGAAUAAUUUUUCAUGUAGAGCAUUAAUCACAAAACAAAACUUCACAAACAAAAUCCAACUAUCCAUAGGAGCAUCUACAAUUCGAAUUAGAUUAAAAUUAAAUAUCGAACAAAACACAAUGCUCAAAUAUAUUACAUCUAACACAACAUAUGACGAAAAAAGCAACACGCACACCAAGAUUUGUAUUGUUCAAAAUACAGAGUACUUGUGAAUAUACGAAUGACUCAUAAGCAACCCCACUCAUUGAAAAAGUAUAAAAUUACUGUAUGCAUCAAGUAAUCUUCAUAAACUAAGGCUCCACAAGAAUCUUGCCCGUAGCAUGGCCUUCAAUGCUCUUGGCCCAAGCAUUUUCUGCCUUACUUAGAGGAUGCUUUGAAUCGAUUAUUGGCCUAAGCUUUCCUGCUUUCACCAACUUAACAAGAAAAUCGAGGUUCUCUUUCUUGGGUGAGGUGAACAAGGGUAUGAGUUGCUUCUUCGAGCAUUUAAUCUUUUUCACAGCAACACUCAUUAAAGUACCGAAACCAGGGGUGGUAUCUACUACCUUUCCUUUGGGAGUCAAGUUAGCCGAAAAGGUAGACCAGGGAAUGUUGUGUGCGCAGUGGAUGAUUACAUCGUAUUUGCGACCAGAAGGGCUCUUGAGAGCCACCCCAUCAGGAGUUUUGUAGUCAAGAACCUCAUCAGCCCCCAAGCUCCUGACUAAAUCCAUAUUACGAGCCCCACAAGUGGCUGUAAUGUGUGCAUUUGCAAGCUUUAGGAGUUGAACUGCAUAUUGACCUACACCACCUGAAGCAGCGGUAACCAGAACAUUUACUUGUGGGCCGGUUCCAUCAAGUUUGAGACCAGCAAGCUGGGUGAGUGACUGGUGAGCUGCAAGGCCAGCAAUUGGCAAAGCUGCAGCUUCAGGGGCUGAUACCUCUGGAGGCCUUGGAACUGUGGAACCUUCCUUAGCCACAGCAUAUUCAGCUAGUGCACCUCCAUUCUAUGAUUGCAAAAUAGAUUCAUAUAAUAAGAGAUUGGCACAACAAAGGACAUAAAUGAUGCUAGAUAACAUAUAAAACAAGGACAUGAAUGAUAACGGAGAAAAAGAAUCUAUGGCUUGGUUGUUGUAAAACUUGAACCAACGAACUUGUCGAGUGUAACAUCAAACAUACAUAUGUUUCCCACUUGCAAGUAUGCAACAAACCCAAGAAUAAGAAUGAGUACUUACACCAAGUACGGCAACAACUUUAUCCCCGACUUUGAAACUCUGGACACCUGAUCCAACUUGUACGAUUUCUCCUGCUACAUCGGUGCCUGCUCCACCAAAUUUUCUUUAGCUAAUGAUUGAAAACAAGCAUUCAAACUAGUACAAGAAAGAAAAGUUUUGAUGCUUUAAAUCCAUUAAAGCAUUGAAAACUAAUGCAAAAUAAACCAUUGGGCUGAACCAUCUAGAGAAAAGUAACAGUACCAGGAAUGUGGGGGAAUUUGCGAGGUAAAAAUGGGCGCGCUACCCCCUCCUGUAUUUUCCAGUCGAUUGGGUUAAUACUAGCUGCCUCUACUUUGAUCAGAACUUCAUCCUUUUUUGGACUGGGAAUCGGAACUUCAGCAUGCUGCAACACCCAUAAAUUUCACAUUCAUUAUAAGAUUACGUCACCGGCCAUUUUUUUUCAAGUUUAUUAAAAAACAGAAGACAAAUGUUUGGAAAUGAUUUUGCAGAAAGAAAAAAGAGAGAGAGAGAGAGAGUUGACUUAGCUGUCAAAAUCGUUUAAUUCCCAAUAAUUUGGCCUCAAUGUUAAAUCUACGGUACUAAUAUAAUUAACCAAUCCUAAUAAACUUGAUUAAGGACUAAACUAAACAAGAAUUUAAUUAAAACUCCAUCUUAUGCAUGGAAAAGAACUACACAUUUCUUUUGAUCCUUACUUUUAAACUCGAAACAAAGCAAGAAUAUUACCUUGAGAUCAGCAGCUCCUCCGUUAUAUUUACUGUAUUGAACACCACGCAUCAGAUUCUUGGCCAUUUUCUUUCUUUUUCUAAGAGAAUAAAAACCGAAAGCUCCUUUUUAAGCUUGUGGGAAGGCAAAAAAACUCAAGAUUAGAAUGUGAGACAGAGAAGGAGGGAAGGAUUGGACGGAAUAUUUUGGCGUCAGAUACUUUGAAUUUAUAGUAAAGUAAUGCAGACAUGGAAUGGUUCCUUCCGAUCAAAGCGAGAUCAUUGAAUGGGUAUAGGUGUGAACUGUGAAACCGAUGUGAUGUUCUAGAAGCAUUUGACUUUUUUUAAUUAUUCUUUUGAGGUCAAAUUCAUAAUUUUUUUAUUCAAUUGAUUGGAGAAUGUGUGUACUGUAUGGAAGUUUCGAUAACAUGUUUUGUUGAAUGGAAAUGCUUUUUCAUUUUGCUUAAACAUUUAACGUUCGAAAAUUCAUUCGAAAAAUAAAAUAAUUAGGAUAAAAAUAUGAAAUUUUAAAACAAUUAAUUGCUUCUUAUAUUUUAUUUUGCCUAGUGAUGGUAUCGUCCGCAUUUUCAUCCCUCCCACCACCCAUUUCUUUCUUUUUUUUUUCUCGUUCAUUCCAGUUUAUAAAUUUACUUUGUGGGUAUAUUUUUUCAUUGAAUGAAUUAAUGAAUUUACCCUGUAUCAAUUUUUAUCUAAAAAAAUCAUUUUAAAAUAAGCACUGAAUCAACUCAAAGAAAAGCCAUUUACCAAAAAGAAAACAAGUUGGAAGUUGCCAAUUGAUAUAAUUAAAAAGGAAUAGCCGGCAGAGAUGGAACCCAAUUUAAACACGUGGUAUAGUAUCGAAACUUUGACUUUAAAAAAAUUCAACUGCCUCUAGAGCAUCAGAUUCGGUUUUGUAAUUCACACCUACACACGCAUUACAAUCGGGAACACCCAUUCCAUGUCUGGAUUGCAUUACUAUAAAUUCAAACUAUCAAACGCCAACAUACAUCAUCCCACAAUCCUAUCCUAUCCAAUCCUUCCCUCCUUCACUUUCUCUGAUCUUCUUUCUUUGCCUUCGCUCGCUUUUCAUUUUUUUUCUUAGGAAAAACAAAAAAGAAAUGGCUAAUAAUUUGAUGCGUGCCGUUCAAUACAGUAAAUAUGGCGGAGGAGCCGAUGAUUUGAAGGUGAUCUACUUGCUUCUCUCUUUUUUUUUUUUUUUGACCAAAUACCUUUGAGUUUGUCUCCAUUUGAUAUAAGAGUUUAGACUGAGAGCUUGACAGCAGUGUCGAUAUAUAUAUUUUUGAUGACCUUGAAAAAAGAUAUUGUUGGUCACCUGAUUUCAUAACGAGUGUGAAUUUUGUGGGUGUUGCAGCAUGUUGAAGUUCUGAUUCCCAGCCCAAAAAAGGAUGAAGUUCUGAUCAAAUUAGAGGCAGCUAGUAUUAACCCAAUCGACUGGAAAAUACAGGAAGGGGUAGCCCGCCCAUUUUUACCUCGCAAAUUCCCCCACAUUCCUGGUACUUUUUUCUUUUCUCAUGCCUGUUUCAGUCGCAUGCAUUGCAUUCUGAGCUUCACUUGUUUAGUAUCCUCUGGAUGGUUCAGCCCAAUAAUCUGAUUUGCAUCAGUUUUCAUUUGUGGAUUUAAAGCAUCCAAACUUUUCUUCUUUCUUGUGUUCAAUCAUUGGCUAAACAACAUUUGGUGGAGCAGGC
rnacentral:lncRNA from 1 species